AAAGGAGGAGGCUAAAGAACGGGUAAUGUCUUCCUUUCUUUGCACAACCUUCUGCAGCGUAGAUAAUUUUCAUGUUUGGACAGCAGAACUGGAAGAUGGGCUAAGUGUUGAAUGCCUCAGCAUAAAUAUACAACUAUCAAUGAGUACUCAGUGCUUGUAACUACAGAGAAGUAACUCCUUGUAUUUGUUUAAAGAACCCCGAGUGGGCCAGUGACAGGUAUGUUCUUGAGUUUUGUGUGCGGAAGGUGAGUAGGUUCAGUGAAAGACUGAGCUGGAGUUGUCUGGGAACGAGAUGAGCCCAUGGCAGCAUAGUUCUCUCAUCCUGUGCAUCGCCACGUUAUGACACUGAGUAUCACUUUGUAAUAUUCCACUUCCUAUCUAUAAUGCAACGCUUCCAUAUGAAUGGAUUAUUUUGAAAUUAGCCAUGUAUUCUUUCUGCCCUAAAUCAAAAUAUGCCUGUGGUAUAAUACUAAAACCAUGACAGCGGUGGGAAAGACUGAAGAUACUCUUAAAAAAGGACUGACACACACCUUCAUUUUAAAAAAAGGUUUGGAAGUAAAUGACGUGCCUUGCUAGGAUUCUUCACGCUCUUCUCCCAUCCCAAUAGAAAUGACAGUGUUACCAACUACUCACUAACGACUUCAGUAGUCAGAAUUUCUCAUCUGCUUCCUGCUGAAACAAGUUGGGGGUUCAGGGUUUAAAUGGAAUACAUGAGAAAAUAAGAAUCUGUCCUCCUAACUUCUCCUUUCUUAAAAGAACUUUGUAGAAGAAAGGGACAGUAGAAGAAGCUGUUGAGGGUUCAGGGCCUCGUGCUCUUCUGAACAAUGUCAGCAGCCUAGGUUUCCUUAAUGCCUUUUCCAUAUGUGAUAAGACUUGCACUCUCCCAGUAUUCUUUCAAGGAUGGAUAUAUCAUGAAAGCUCUAUGGAUUUUACUCUGUAAUAAGCCUCUAAAAAUAAUUGUGAUAGCUUUAGCUGUCUUCAAAACCCAGUAUGUUUAUCAUUAACAGUACAGUUUAACUAUUCAUUGACUUCUGACAAACUAUAGCAUAAGCCAAUAUACCAUCCAUACUGAGGUGAAAGACAUCGAUAGCUAGGGAACUGUGCUAAUGCAAACCACCAAUACAGAAGAUCUAUUGGAAAUUAAUAGAAAUAUGAACAGUGAUAAUUUACGUUAUUACAUCUUGCUGCCAUCUCAGGACUAUACUGUUGUCUGUUUUCAGCACAUAGAUGUUCCAGAAAUAUAAUUUGUGAUGCACUACUCUCCACUGACCUGUAUCCUCUGCUUCUGUUCGCUUUAAUUGGCACUUACAGGUUUGGGCCCUUAAAACUGGCACAAGAAUGAAUUAAUGUGAUGUGUUUUAACCUUCUGAUCUUAUCAGUUUAAUUACAAGAAUAAAUUAAUCUUGAAUAUUUUUCAAUCCUUAAAAAAAAAACUUUAAGAACCAAAAAAGGGCGAUCAUUCCAUUCUCAUUAUGUCUCCAAGAUUGCCAUGAGAAAUAAAAUAAUUAAUAUCUAUGCUUAUUCUUUAUCAUUAGUCUUUGUCCUAAGAAUGGAUUAAUGAGAAUAUUCAAUGAGAAUCAGAACAUCCUUGCAUUCACUUCUGUGAAAACUCAUUCUUGUGUCAAAGACUGUAAUGAGGACUGAUAGAAGCAUACAAUUAAUUCACAGCAACCUUAAGGUUGUAGUGAGAAAAUAGUACAUCAUUCCAGACUGAUGACCAAGGUCAGAAUAAGAGAAGAUGAAGAAUGAAUAUGAGAAGAUUGAAGUAACAGCAUUUUAAGUCUGCAUUAUAAAGCCUUUGUUUGACAGCGUAUCAUUUUAAAAUCCACAUUAGUUUUUAUUGACUACGGUUUUGAUUGCAUUAGUGGUUUUUUUUCACAUCUCCUUCCCAGAUGUUUCUUCAGAACUAAGCAAUUACCUAUCAAACUGAUUUUCUCCAUCUCUCCUAAGUAAGAGGUUGGCAAGAAACAAAAGAAGAUGAAACUACUUUUUGUGUUCCACAUCAGAGGCUAAGAAGUAAGAACACUGUGGAACAAAACGACCUGUAGAGAAAUUUCCGUCAUAUCUAUGGGUUUGAAACACACAUAAUCUGGUUUUGGCCCAGUAUAUAUUUCUGAGGUAUUCUUUGCUGCAGUGAUUAAAGCAUAUAGUACUGAUAGGGGUGCUCAUUUUCUGAACUGUUCACAGCAGAAAGUACAAGACAGCAGCUCAUGCAAAUAUGGAGUGCUUGGGUGGGCAAAGCCAUAAGGAGGAAGAGACACUAACACAGGAAGACAAGAAGAUUGCACAGCUGGUUAGUUCGGUGGUUUUGUUAGGCCUUGUGCCGUGUGUGUUGUGGGUAUUAUUUCUCAUCAGUGCCCUUGCAGUUGUGUGUUGCUGGCUUUGAAUGACAGUUACUGAUAUAAAGUAACGUAUAGUAGCAAGAAAUUAAAUGAGCACAUCUUGAAAAAUGUUUAAAAUGGGUGCUUUACUUUUGAUUAAUAAUUAACGUUGCUUAGUUUCUGUAGGUUUAAAGGAAUUAUUACAGCAGCAUGCCUGCUCCGUUCUAUUACAGGUGGUGUCAGGUUUUCCAUUAUUAAGCCCUGUAUUUUUUGAUUUGUUUGGUAACGUGGCUAUAAAAUUUGAUUCCAGGUGUGAACUUGCCAGGAAAAUAUCUCAGCUUAGCAGACACUUAAAAAAAUUAUUUUAAUUUUUAAAUAGCUCAGCUAUUUGAUGGUUAGCAGAGGAACGGAAGCCUGGGAUAACUCUUCACAGAGAGCGCGCUGGUGGUUCGAGCGUGGCCUUCUCACAGGAUGCUAUGCUUUAUGCUGUUUGUUUCUUGUCACAGAAAUGCUGCUAGAAGAUAAGCAGAGAAAGUUGCAGUGAGAAGCCUGACAAAGGAGGGACUUCACACCAUUAAUGAAUACCUGGUUCAGUAUUACAACAAAGCAAUUCUUACUGUAGCUCUUCUUUACAGCUCCUGGUCAGAGCCGAACUUAAAUUGAGGUAGAAGGUAUAUACAGAGGGGGAAAAAAACAUUCUUAGUGCUGUAGUGGCAAAAUAUGGACCAUCACUAUGGAAUGUGGCAUCUAGUGAGUGGAUGAGGCAGUGAGCACAAACCGAAAUACAAGAAAUACUAAUUAAAUAUAAGAAAUAAAUAUGAGAAAAAACGGUCUGACUGUGAUGGUGCUCAGACACUGGCACAGGUUGCCUAGGGAGGUUAUGUAGUCUUUACCCUUGGAGAAAUUCAAAGCCCAACUGGACAUGGUCCUGGGCAACCUGCUGUAGCUGACCCAGCUUUGAGCAGGGGAAUUGGACUGAAAAUCUGCAGAGGUGCCGUCCAACCUCUGCUAUUCUGUGCUUCUGUGAAUAAUACUACUGAUAAUAAUAAAUAGAUCUGGAACCAGAUUAGACUGGUGCUUUCCUUCUCAGUUUUCCAUUGCUUUCUGCCUGAGUGAUGGUAAAGGUAUCUGUGUCUCAGCAGAUGGUUGUGCCUGUGUAUCUGAUUGUGAAGACAGCCCUCCUGUAACUGUGUUACUAUGCAAGUACAAUAGAGUAACUUUUCUGUUUCAUAUGUUUGGGGCUGUCUUUGAAAAGCCGAAGAGUUAGGCUUUUUUUUUUUUUUUCUUUUUUAAAGUGGCCUUAACCUUGGUGGGUUUUCUUGGUGGUUUUUUAUCUCCUUUUUUUUUUCCCUUCACACUGAUUCCUAGUGGGAUCUGUCCUUCAAGUAAGAAGGAGGAAUAAAGAGGUGGCAAGCAUAGCACAGAGGUAUUGGCAAGGCAGUUUGGAGAUUUUCUGUACUUCUCUUACACUCCAUCCCUUUGGGAUUUGUUACAGGAUCAGAGGUGUAACAAGCAAGUGGGACAGGAGGAGCCGGCACAGUUUUGAAUCCUACUGCCAGAACUGUUUGUGUUGAACAUCGCCCUGUCAGUGGCUAAAAUGCAGAAAUAACCCUAAAAACAGACAAGCUAUGAGCUGAUGUCAUUCCAGGUACCAAGGAGCUGACAUCACACAAGCCACCAUUCAACAUGACAGCAGCUUGCUGAAAAGUAUUUUCUUUUCCCAGCAUUAAACAAGGCCUGCUUAGCCAGUGACGUUGGAGAGGCUUACAUCUUCACAUUUCACCAGGAGCCCGAUGUUCUGAACCACUAACUUUACAAAGAUCUCUCUCUUCACAGAGGCUCAGAAUGGAAACCUUAUGAAGAAUUCAAUUUGAUGUAAGACCUGCAAGAAAUGCUGCUAUGCUAGAGAAAUUUAAGAAACCAAACUCUUUGCUUAGGAUAUCAGCAAGGAAAAUGUGUAGUGAUAAAUUAGUCAUCUCAUAUUGGUUUAUUCUUUGACAGCAGAGCCCUUGAAGGUGAGGUGGGAAGCAAAGAGACCAUGUAAGGGAGACCAGCCUGCGUUCAAAGGUUUGAGACUUUUUUAGUACCUCAGCAAAUUAAGAGAAGGGGGUGGAUCAUGGUGUCCUUGCAGUAAGUGAAGGAGAGAGCUCAGGCUGUCAAAAAUCCCACCUCUGUAACAGUAUUUACUGCCAGAGAAAAGCAGAUGGAAACAGUGCCUGAAACAUCCUUUGUCACAGGGCCUCUCCCUUGCUUGCCCAGCUGCAAGUGUUCAGAAUCUCCUGCAGCCAGCUAGUAGGUCUUAACAAUUAUUCAGCUUACUCUUAUUUUAAUUAUUCUUAUACAGCAGGAGCUCAUGAAGGGCUCUUGGGAGGCAAGACACCUGGCAGAGCAUCCUCAGGGCACUGAGAGAUGGUUAGGUCCCCAAAGAUAUAUAGUGUUCUGAUGUCUAAAAACCUCUUUUGCUUCCCUUCUGUACCUGUCUUUAGUGCAAAAACAUGAACCUUUGAAAGCUGGACCCCAGCUGUCGUAGGAAUAAACCCAAACUACAGCCCAAGAUGGCCUUUGAAAACUGCAAGUUCCUUAGACCACAACAGAACCGAUGAGUACAACUUCACACAACCGCCUUUUGAUUUCUUCACUUACAUUUUAAAAAUAAAACUACUGGUAACACCAAAGUGAAGAAUGUUAGGUAAAAGCUGACUCCUUUCUCCUCCUCCUUCCCCCUUCCUUCCCCUUUUUAAAUUCUGGAGUAACACGUAUGGAGACAGCGUUGCAAGUGAGGUCUUGCGUGUGUCUGUGUGUGUGCAUUAAACUGAUACAUUUAAUUAACGAAGACACCUUGGGGCUCAAACCUCAUGUUGAAAUCCCAGUAUAAAAAAUUAAAUGCAUGUGUAACGUGUGUGAAUGGUUGCCACUGAAAGGCAGUGAAGGAGCCAGUGAAAUAUCAGCUGCACUCCUGCUUAAGAAAUAAUUUUUAAAAUUACUGUGAUGAUACGGUGUCUUAGCACUAUGCCUGGCAAAAACGGAGCUAUGCAGUAUUUUUCAACAGUGAAGUACACAGUGCAAGAUUCUUACUGUUUUGCUUGCAUGCAUACAUGGUUUGUUGAAAUGAGAACUGUCUUGUGUGCUUGUGCAGCAUUUAGCACAAAGAACACAAAGUAUUUGGGGCAUCUGUGCUCUACUUUAAGACAUGUACAAUUGUAAAUAGUGAUUAACAUGCCUAAAACCAGCUACAUUUAAUAAGGUAAUCACAGACAGAAUCACAAAUUGAACUUAGGAUUGUAACUUUUCUUUGUACUGUGACACGGUUCUUUCAGGUACUUUGCCAUCUUGGAGAAUUCCUGUUGUAUUUAGGAUCCAAACUUUCUAUGCAAUGCAAGGACUAACCUAAGUACCAAAGAGUAAAAUUCACAAGGAGUGAUGCUUCCUUGUGGUAUUCCCACACACAUGACUGGGAGCGGUGAGUCUGAAUGCACGUGUUAGUUUCACAUUGUUUAAAAAUUCUUCCCAUCGUAUUUGCAAGUGACAUCCCAGGCAUUUCUGACAGAAAUGUGGGUAUCUGAAAAGUGCGCUAAGGAAACAGCACGGAAUGCACUAUCUGUUCCAGCGCCCUUCUGGGAACAGACCCAUUUUGUGGUAGGAAAUACACUGUCUAUUGUCAAUAUUAUCAAUAGAACUUAAAUUGUCAUUUUCAGAUUUUGUUUUAGUUUAAUAUAUUUUCUUCAGUUAGUGAUAUUCUGGUGAGUGUGAUUAAAAUCUUGCCUCCUAGAAGAGCACAUGGGUGAAUAGUAACGGAAACUCAUUUUUUUUUUUUUGCAAGAUUUUGGAAGUCUGAAUGUUCAUACAGUCAAAGUGUUUGGCACAAUCUCCAGCGUGAACACACAUGAAAAUACUAGUUAAUACUAUUAAAAUGUGAGAUUUUGCUGUUUGUUUUCAUUUAUAGAUCCUGCCUGUUCUGCAGCUGUUUCUUAUUAUACAAGCUGACUAGAAGCUGAGGUAUAAACAUGAGGAAGAACAGAAUAGUAGUACUAUCUUAACCUGUUCAUUUUAUUUUCCAAGUUCCAUAUAUCAACCCUUGCAGUAAGUAUAUGUCUUUCUAGUACAAAUCCAGUCCAAGAGCAGUUCAAGGUAACACAAGUCCUAUUAAUAGACGCAGCAGGCUGAUGUUAGUCACAGAAGUCAUAAACCAUCAGGCUUCUGUUAUUCCUGACUGUGGUCUUAUUGUAUGUUAAAACCAACUGAAAACCUUAAAUAUAAGGAUUUCCAAAUCUACAAAUUGCUGAAGGGGGGUGGGGAGGGGAAGAGAUGGUCGGUUUUAUUUUCGGAGAAUAAAAAUUUCUAAUGAGAAAUUAUUACAUGUUAACUGUUCUUGUUGUGAAGGUUUUUGCAUGAGAUUUUAAAGGGCAGAACUUCCCACCUAUCUUAUCUUGUGCUAUAAAACGCCAUAGCUCUAGAUGGGAAUUGUUUUGUCCACACCACCAUCAGCUGGACCAUACAAGCAUUGUUCCUUAUUAGAUGAAAACAAAAACUAUGAGAAUCAUUACCAUGAAGUGCUGGUAUUUCUUGUCACCCUGAUAGUGCAUCAGCACCAAUUCCUCAGCUAAUCGAGCCAUGCCGCCUGGGUGAGAACUAUCCUGUUCUUCAUGUGCACCUGCUCAACACCUACAUGAUGUAUAGAACUUACCUGAGCCUUUCAAGUAGACAAUCGGAAACUUUUG